rnacentral:rRNA from 1 species
AUUGAACGCUGGCGGCAGGCCUAACACAUGCAAGUCGAACGGUAACAGGAAACAGCUUGCUGUUUCGCUGACGAGUGGCGGACGGGUGAGUAAUGUCUGGGAAACUGCCUGAUGGAGGGGGAUAACUACUGGAAACGGUAGCUAAUACCGCAUAACGUCGCAAGACCAAAGAGGGGGACCUUCGGGCCUCUUGCCAUCGGAUGUGCCCAGAUGGGAUUAGCUAGUAGGUGGGGUAACGGAUCACCUAGGCGACGAUCCCUAGCUGGUCUGAGAGGAUGACCAGCCACACUGGAACUGAGACACGGUCCAGACUCCUACGGGAGGCAGCAGUGGGGAAUAUUGCACAAUGGGCGCAAGCCUGAUGCAGCCAUGCCGCGUGUAUGAAGAAGGCCUUCGGGUUGUAAAGUACUUUCAGCGGGGAGGAAGGGAGUAAAGUUAAUACCUUUACUCAUUGACGUUACCCGCAGAAGAAGCACCGGCUAACUCCGUG